rnacentral:rRNA from 1 species
CCGGCGAACGGGUGCGUAACACGUGAGCAACCUACCUAAGUGUGGGGGAUAGCCGGCCCAACGGCCGGGUAAUACCGCAUACGCUCUUCUUUAGGCAUUUAGGGGAGAGGAAACCUUCGGGGCACUAUGAGGGGCUCGCGGCCUAUCAGCUAGUUGGCGAGGUAAUGGCUCACCAAGGCGACGACGGGUAGCUGGUCUGAGAGGAUGGCCAGCCACAUUGGGACUGAGAAACGGCCCAG